GAGAAAUAUAAGAUGGAAAAGUAAAUACAUUUCAGCACUCAGGCACAAGUGUUUCCUUUGUUCAUUUUUAGUAUUGUAAGUGAAAUUUGAAGCUAUAGAAUUUAAAUCGUUGACCAAAAAUACCAUAAGAAAGUUCAAGAUGAAUUUUGUUUCAACAUAAAUUUCCUAUGUAGAUCCAAAUUAAUCCAAAAUUCAUUUAUCACAACCAGGAAUUAAAUUGUAUUUGCUGCUCAUCUUCUUGAGGUUGGUCCAUCACUAAGCUUCGGUAAGUGACAAAGAAGCUAUUUGACAAUCCUGAUCUUGAGAGGGUUCCUCUUCAGUGCAAAGAUCAUUACAGGUGUAAGAAGGUACCAGAUCCUUUAUAACUCUCCCAAGCUACCCAGGACUUGCUUGAAAACAUCACUGGGGGUUAUAAGAAGUACUUCGACUUGCAGAAAAGACAACAGUAUAUCCAAAUACUGCCAAAUGCCUGGGAGCAACUGAAGAAAUCAGAACUGAAUCUCCUGAUGCAAAUACCAAUGGAGGGAGAAGACCAGAGUGACACCAGGAAGGGGACCCAGGGCGAGUUGUGGGAUGCUAAUAUAAUGUUUCUUCAUUUUGG
rnacentral:lncRNA from 1 species